UACGUAGGGUGCAAGCGUUAAUCGGAAUUACUGGGCGUAAAGCGUGCGCAGGCGGUUAUGCAAGACAGGUGUGAAAUCCCCGGGCUUAACCUGGGAACUGCGCUUGUAACUGGCAAGCUGGAGUGUGGCAGAGGGGGGUGGAAUUCCACGUGUAGCAGUGAAAUGCGUAGAGAUGUGGAGGAACACCGAUGGCGAAGGCAGCCCCCUGGGCUAACACUGACGCUCAUGCACGAAAGCGUGGGGAGCAAACAGG
rnacentral:rRNA from 1 species